rnacentral:rRNA from 1 species
AGCGAACGCUGGCGGCAGGCCUAAUACAUGCAAGUCGAACGGUCCUUCGGGACAGUGGCGGACGGGUGAGUAACACGUGGGAACGUACCCUUUGGUUCGGAAUAGCUCCGGGAAACUGGAAUUAAUACCGGAUGUGCCCUUCGGGGGAAGGAUUUAUCGCCAUUGGAGCGGCCCGCGUCUGAUUAGCUUGUUGGUGAGGUAAAGGACUCACCAAGGCUACGAUCAGUAGCUGGUCUGAGAGGANGAUCAGCCACACUGGGACUGAGACACGGCCCAGACUCCUACGGGAGGCAGCAGUAGGGAAGUCUUGCGGCAAUGGGCGGAAAGCCUGACGCAGCCAUGCCGCGUGGAUGAUGAA